rnacentral:piRNA from 2 species
AGGACUGCAAGGAGCCCAAGAGAGAGCG